UACGGAGGUGGCCAGCGUUGUUCGGAAUUAUUGGGCGUAAAGGGCGCGUAGGUGGCCAUGCAAGUCGGAGGUGAAAUCCCUCGGCUCAACUGAGGAACUGCCUCCGAUACUGCAUGGCUUGAGUCCCGGAGAGGGUGGUGGAAUUCCCAGUGUAGCGGUGAAAUGCGUAGAUAUCAGGAAGAACACCCGUGGCGAAAGCGGCUCUCUGGAACGGUACUGACGCUGAGACGCGAAAGCGUGGGGAGCGAACAGG
rnacentral:rRNA from 1 species